CCAAAUUGGAAUUCGGGUUUCACAUUUGAGCGCAAACAGGAGCUUUUUCCCACUAGUGCUGUGAAAACUCGGAUUUUUCAAACUACAGCUAACGUUUGAAAAUCUUCAAGAAGGAUUUGCAAAAUGACUUCUACCAACUUCAAUCGCGAGAUGCACCUGCUCUCCCUUUUCAUUGAGGAGGUGAUAGAUCAACGCUAUGCUGAGCUGGUGAGUCCAAUCACUGCACCUCAGAUGGUCGUCAUUAACUUGAGGAACCGUCAACUGAGCAGCAGCCAUCUGGACUCCAUGUCCCCCCUGGUCCUCACUCUUUACCAUAACCUGGUGACGGGGUCCAAAGACUUUCCUCACAUAUUGUUUAAAGGAUUGUUCCACCGGGACCAGGUGACGACACCAUUUGUCCAUGUGAGGCAGAGCCAGAGAGAGAACACCACUCCUUCUCCUCCUACGGACUCCCCAGCUGGCAUGAUGCUGCCGCCUGCGGGCUCCAGCUCUCAUCCACGCUUCCUGACUCCAGUUCUUCCAGAGAAAGCGGAUCUUGCUGUGCUGAAGGCAGAUCGGAGGAACUGCGUCCGCACCCUGACUGUCGACGGCCUCCCCGUCACCAGAGUCAUCUCCACUGUUUACCGAACAGAGGACACUGAGAUGACGAACCGCUGGAGAAUAACAGACUACAGCGCAGACGGCAGAGUUCUCACAUCGGUGCUCUGCCGUUUUCUAAAUACGUCGGCAAAGCGUGCUAAGAGGAAGGCUCCGGAGGAAGAGAGCAGCAUCCGGAGCCCGACUCCAGCAAGGAAGCGCUUGAGAAUAUAAUAUACAGUGAAGCAUGUCGAACGUCAGCAAGCCUGAACAAAGUGUCAGGAAAAAGAGUCACGCUGCGAAGAAACACCACACAGAAGCUUUUCCCUCAGUACAAUGACAACUGAGGGUCUUCAGAGCAGCGUGAACGGCCGUCACCUGAGAGCAAGACAGUCCUCGGGCCUUCCCUCCAGACUGGCCACCUGUCCAGGUUGUACCCCCGCCUCUGGCCCCAUAACAUGGCUCCAACCUUGAAUUGGUUAAGCAGAAGGGAUGGAUGGAUGGAUGGAUGAUCCAAAGAGAAACAUUGAAGGCACUCUCACAAAAAAAAGAUAAGAACUCAUUUUACACAUUGUUGAAACAUCCUGAAAGUUACUUGUUCUGUUUAGAAACUUGUUGAACUGUCAUUAGAGUUUGUUUCGACUUGUUUUUCAUUUCUUAUUCGGUUCAGCUGUGUUUCUAUGUGUCCUUAGUUCCCAUAAUCAGCCUCCUGUGUGUAAAUAUUGUGUCAGUCUCCCUUUGUCCCUUGUCAGAGUGUUAGUCUCCAUCCCCUCGUGUUUCCUUGCCUCAGUAGCUCUGUUUCCUAUAGUUUUCCACCAGUAUAGGUUUUGGUUUGACUUUUUCAGUUCCCUCUGUCAGUCUUUGUAUUUGGUAUUUCCUCAUCAGUCUCAUCACUUUCCUCUGCAGAGAGAAAACAGGAAAAGGACCUGAAGAGACGUCUAUGCAAACGCUCUCAUUGUGAAAGAUAAGUAUACAUCCAUCUAAUCUGUGACUCUGUCACAACUCUGAUCAGCAGUUCUUUCAGGUUUGUCUGUUUUGAUGAUGUUAUUAAUUGUUAUUAUCCUUUAUCCAGUUAACUUUCAGAGAGGAGCGGAGGGAGGAGCGAAGCCAGUGUGCUCUGUAAACUCUCAUUAAAAAAAAGAUAAGUAUAUUUGAUUUUCUAUAAUUAUGACAGCUCCUCCUCAGUGAACACUUCCUCUAGUUGCUGAAAUCAUUUAUUAAUUUUUUUCUUCCCAUUUGUCUUUUGUUUUUCAGGGAAAACAGAGAGGAGACAAGGUGACAUUAAGACCUAAGACAGGACGGAUUGAACCCUUUUCCAGAGAAGAUGAGAAGAGUGAACGUCAGCAAGAAUGAACAAAGUGUUUCUAAAUGUCAGGAAAAAGAGCCAAGCUGAGAAGAAACACCACACAGAAGAUUUUCCCUCAUUAAAAUGGAGAGGAGCAGUAACGACACUGGGAGACAAACAACAGGAUGAUCCAAAGACAACUGAGAGUGUUCAGAGCAGCGUGAACGGCAGUGACCUCAGAGCAAGACAGUCCUCGGGCCUUUGUGGUUCCCUCCAGCUGUUGACAACCCACGCAGACACGAGAGAAUGCAAACUCAAUCACAAGGGCCGUGGCCAGAUGGUGGAUUCAAACCUAGGAUAUUCUUCCUGUGUGAUGAUGAACUGUUGUGGUCUGCUAACACUCCAGAAGGAACCAGUUCCUCUGAAGAGCAUUGAGGUGGAGCUGGAGGUGAGGGACCAUGUGGCUACAGUGGUCUCCACUCUGAACUACGAAAACAAGGAGGACAAACCAUUAGAGGCUGUUUUUGUCUUCCCUCUGCCUGGAGAUGCUGCUGUCUGUCAUUUCAGUGCUCAGAUUGGACAGACACAGAUUGUAGCUGAGGUGAAGGAGAAACAGAAGGCUCGUGAGGAGUAUGAUGAUGCUCUGAGCUCCGGUCAGCAGGCCUCCCUAUUGGAGGAGAGUGAUGAGAGUCCAGAUAUAUUCUCUCUGCGUGUGGGCAGUCUGCCUCCAGGAGAGAGCGCCUCCAUCAGGUUGGAGUACGUCAUUGAGCUGGCUGUGCAGGCUGAUGAUGGUCUGAGGUUCUGUCUGCCUGCUGUGCUCAACCCUCGAUACCAACCUCAGGGUAGUGAAGGUGCAGGUUUCCAGGUGACUUCUGUUCCAGCCUCUCUGGUGCCCUACAGUCUGUCUUUUUCUGCCCGAGUCUCCUCUCCUCGUCCAAUCUCUAAAGUAGAGUCCAACUGUUCCCUGGAGCCUCUGCAGUACCUCAACAAUGAUCAAACCCAGGCCACGGUCAAGCUGGCUGCAGGACACAAGUUUGACAGAGAUGUUGAACUGCUGAUUUAUUACAAAGACGCCCACCAGCCCACUGCUGUGGUGGAGGCAGGACAGGCCUCUGCUGAGCCGGGCUCUCUGAUGGGUGAUCCAGUGGUGAUGGUGAGUCUGUACCCUGAGUUCCCCCAGUCUGUGAUGUCUUCAAUGGCUUCAUGUGGAGAGUUUGUAUUUCUAUUGGAUCGAUCUGGAAGCAUGAGUAAUACUCGGAUCAGCAGUGCCAGGGAUACUCUGCUGCUCCUGUUGAAGAGCUUACCAAUGGGAUGCUAUUUCAACAUUUACAGUUUUGGGUCUAGUUAUGAACACAUCUUCUCUAAGAGUGUGGAGUACAGCCAGAAGACCAUGGAGGAGGCUCUGAAGAAAGUUGAGGAGAUGAAGGCUGAUCUUGGAGGAACAGAGAUCCUGGAGCCCCUCAAACAUAUUUACAGCCAGCCCUGCAUUCAAAAUCAGCCUAGACAGCUGUUUGUCUUUACUGAUGGAGAGGUGUGGAACACCAAAGAAGUGAUCGAUCUGGUGAAGAAGAACUCAGGCUCCCACAGGUGUUUCUCUUUUGGGAUUGGGGAAGGGGCCAGCUCUGCUCUCAUCAAUGGGAUGGCCAAGGAAGGAGGAGGUCACGCUCAGUUCAUCACAGGGACUGACAGGAUGCAACCAAAAGUGAUGCAGUCGCUGCGAUUUGCUCUGCAGCCGGCUGUGGUCGACAUCUCAGUCACAUGGGAUUUACCAAAGGAAGUGUCUGUCACUGUCCUCUCUCCACCAAUCACAGCACUUUUCCAGGGUCAGAGGUCACUGAUUUAUGCCCAGCUCACUGGACAGAGCUCAGAGGCAGCAGAGGGCUGUGUGAUGCUGAAGUACAGCCUGGCAGGUCAUCCCUCUGAGAACCAGCUGCACUUCAGUCUCAGACCUGCAGAGGACACUGGACUAACAGUCCACAGGUUGGGUGCUCGGACUCUGAUUCGUUCCCUGGAGAUGGAGGAGAGAGAAAACAGAGAAGAGCAACAUGGAGGAAUGAAGGAGAAGGUGGUGCAGCUCAGUGUCCAAUCAGGAGUGAGCAGUUCUUUCACUGCCUUCAUUGCUGUCAACAAAGACAACGGAGAGGCGAUCCAAGGACCUCUUGUCCAGAGAAAUAUUCCAACAGCCUUUUCAUAUCAUUUAAGUCCAGAAUGCGAUGCUGCUACAUAUAAAGCAUGCAAAAUGAUGAAGAGUGCUCCAUUGCCUAUGAUUGGUAUCUUGCAGAAGUUUAGUCGGUGGGUUGGUGAUCGUCUGCAUAAAAAACGUUUUUCAUCAGAAGCUUCACAAGAUUUUCCAGCUGCUGUGCCCGAACAGCCACCCAGAGACCCUUUGCUGCAGUUAGUCUCCCUGCAGGAGGCGUCUGGCUGCUGGCUGCUUGAUCCAGCUCUGGCUGCUGCACUGGGAAAGACCGACGAGGAGGUGGAAAAGUCAAAGCCUGAAAAGGCCAGCAGUGAAGUGUGGGCCACCAUCCUGGCUCUGAUCUGGCUUCAUGGCUUCAAGAUGGAUGCAAAGGACGAGUGGGAGCUUCUGGCUGUGAAGGCUGCCUCAUGGCUCCAAGCUCACAAAGCACCAUGUGUGUCAGAGUGUGUGGAUGCUGGAAAUGUCCUGCUGGGUUGCAGCGUGAAGAAAGAAGCUCUGGGACUCUGAGGGUUUUCUUAAAGUGACCUCACCUUCAGGACUGUUAAGCAGAAGGAUACUGACUUACACUAUACUGUGUUGCUUUCUUUAGUCUGACCCUUUAAUUGUUAUAAAAUCAUUAUUUUCCUUGAAUCCAAAUUGGUAUUUAACAUUGGAUUUAACACUGUAACACGUGUCUGCAGAAUUAUCUGAACACUCCAAAUAUACUUUCUGACAGCUACUGUAGAAGCUCAAUCAGAAGGUGUGUUCAUUCUUUCUCUUCCACUAGAUGUGAUUGACUUGUUUCAUUCUCACUAACAUAACCUCCUGUCAAAUGUUGCUGACUCAACACUAAUAAAACACAUGAUUUGGUAACACAGA